AUCUAAGGCCACACCACCCUGAACAUGCCUGAUCUCGUCUUAUCUCAGAAAAUAAGCAGGUCAGGCCUGCUUUGUACUUGGAUGCAAGAAUAGUAAAGCAUCUCAGCUU
rnacentral:rRNA from 1 species